rnacentral:tRNA from 1 species
GGGGGCGUGGCCUAGCGGUUCAAGGCGCCGGCCUGUCACGCCGGAGAUCGCGGGUUCAAAUCCCGUCGCUCCCGCCA